CUUUUUGUGAUGAUCUUAUCUUGGAUGCUAAGAAACGGGGUACAGGUACUUGAAUAUGUAUGUGUUGUCCAUAUUAAGAAACAGUAAUCUUGUGCUUCAAGCAAGUGUUCACUGUAAAAAUGGGAGGGUAGCCAAAUUCCAUGUUAUUAGGAAAGACAAUGGAUGAAAAUGUUACUUGUUUCUGAGGCGCAGACAACCAUUCCUGAUAAAAGGAAUAAAGGAAAAGCCCUGUGGGUAGAAGUGGCACUCCCACGGACUGAAAGCUGGAUCCACACUACAGGUUGUCCCAGCAUCAGCUAUUGAGGCUGAUAAGCAAAAGGGAGCUGCUAUGCAAUUUCAGGAUUGGUGCCGACAUCUUCACCUGUGCUCACACUGUCUGCUUCCACUCACUCAUAAUCCUGUUCUCUCUCUUGAAAGAAAGGCUAAUUAGGAUAAAUAUGCUAGUCUGCCUUACUUGGAUGGUGGAAGAACAGAGAGCAGUGUUAGAAUCACUGUUUCAUUACCAGCUGACAUCUGCAUGGUUCUUCUGGGUAAGGACCAGCAACAAGACUGUCUUGUGUGUGUCCUUUUUCUUCCUAGCUCCUCCCAUCUCUCUGAUUAACACCAAUCCAAUAAAAAUUUCUCAAAACUAUAUUAUGUUGGCAUAUUAUUGUUUGUUUAGAUUACAAUCUAUAUGGAAAUUGCAUCACCCCACUCUCUUAGGUCAUCAGAAAUGAGUAUUUUUGGCUAUUCCACAGAAUGUGUAUUCAUUAAAUAUCGUGAGUAGAAAUUAUUUAAAAAUUAAGCAUGUCUUAGGACCUAAACUUUAGUCCUUGCUUGAAUAUUCACAUUUGUGUAAUUCAUUUCCAAUCUUGCCUAAAAGUUACUUAAUAGCUCCUAAAUUCCUAAGAGUCCAUGUCAUUUUCUUUGGAAGCAUAAAUUUAGGCACCUGGACAUUUUGGAAUCAGAGACCCUUGGUCUCUAACCUUUGUGAUUUUUGGAAUAGUUACCCAGACUCUCUACUCACUUUCCUUAUUCAUCAAACUGGGAUAACACAGAACCUACUUCAUAUAGUUGUAUUAAGAAUAAAAUUAAAAACUGUAUGUAAAGUGUACAAUACCUGGUAAAUAAUAUCCAACUAUUAUUUAGAUAAGAGACUUACCUAAAAGUAUAAAUUCCCUAAAUAUUUACUGAGCAUAAGGUGGACUAGUUUCUUCCAACUAGAGGGUGACACUUCACUUCCUCUAAAGUAGAGAUAAAUCUAUCUUUGUCUUCUUUCUUCACAGGCCAUUAUUAUUUGCAUGUAAUAAGAAAAAUUACACUUUUAGCGUCUAUUAUACUUCAUAAAGGCAAAUAAUCGUUUCUGGAGAGGUGAUGUCUCUUUAUCAGUUUUCCAGUAACAGUUACUGUAAGUUAUUUCAACAUAAAAACUGUAUCUUUGAGAAUAUUUUUGAUCCAAGUAGUAGAGACUUUCAAUCUAGAUUUAAGCUGUUUUCAUAUAGCUGAUAAAACAUUUCUUUUCAUCUCUGUUAGACUAUUGGGAUAAAUGAACUAUGACUCUGAAACAGAAAGUCAUUUCUAUGUAUUCUAAUAAAUCAUUUUAAUUUAUAAUUAUGAUAUUCUUAUUAACAGGAUAUUCUGGGUUAUAUACUCUGCUUGUUUUCAACUUUAAAUCACUGAUUUAAAAGAACACAUUUUUAUCAAUGACUUAAAAAGCACUCAAGAUCAUCAUUAUGAACAUAUAUAUACUCCUCUGUUGCAGAGGAAAUAUCCUCACAACCAAAAUUUAUGUGUGAUCUAAAUUUUAAACGCACCCUAGACACCCUAAUAAAGUUAGGCAGGAGGAAAAAAAAAUGAGGCUACCAUCAAUAGGACAGGUAUAAAAGUCUGGAAACCAGCUCCUCAUAUAUGGGUUGUUAGUUAAAUCACAAGUCUUUACCAGAUAUUGUUAGCCUAGUUUCAAUGAUUUUUCUUUAAAAAUAUUCUAUUAUUUAAACUUAUCACCAAUUAAGCCUACUUUCACUCUCACCCAUCCCUACUCCUGUUCAAAUAAAGUAUUACUACCAGAGCCAUUUUUAAAGUGUUCAAACUAAAUGAUAUUAAAAGGAAGUUAAGAAAAAAAAAUAACCUUGAGCUUUUAUUUUCAAGUUGCUAUGGUGUGAAUGUGUCCCUCAAAGUUCAUGUUUUGGAAACAAUCCUUAAAGCAACAGUGUUGGGAGGUGGGGUCUAAUAGGUGAUUAGGUAAUGAGGGCUCUGACCAAAUGAAUGAAGCAAUGUCAUUAUUGUAGGAGUGGGUUAGUUAUCUUCAGAUAACUUUUGUAAGAAACCACUGUUGGCCGGGCGCGGU
rnacentral:lncRNA from 10 species